GCCAGGUGUGGUGGCUCACACCUGUAAUCCCAGCAUUUUGGGAGGCCGAGGCAGGUGGAUCACCGGAGGUCAGGAAUUCGUGACCAGCCUGGCCAAGCCUGGCCAACAUGGUGAAACCCCGUCUCUA
ensembl:misc_RNA Metazoa_SRP Metazoan signal recognition particle RNA